CUGUGUUUCUACUUUGAAAAAUGGGGAAGUGGAAGGACUGCUGCUACUUCAAGGACUUGUCUAUCUAUUCAAUCAAGAGUAUCAUUAGGAAACUCAAUUCACUCUUGAGGUUCAAACAUGAAGGGCACAGAAAUGGGCUUGUUAAUCUUUAUAAGGAGAUGGAGCCUUUUAAAGAAAAUGAUGAUAUACAAAUUAUGUGGAAAAUGAUUCAAGUUCAAUCAUCAACUCUGCAAUGUACCUGCACCGUCAAAAGGACCAAUAGAUGUUUAUAUUGGACACUAUGUUUUCGACCGACUUGAAAUUUUAAAAACAUCACGGCAAAGUAGUCAUAAAGUUUCUAGAUGAAUUAACUAGUCCUGGUUUAGAGUGUGCUAAGUAAGAGUGGUUACGGAAAAGGGUAGAGAGAAAUAAAUAAAAUUGGCAAUGUGUCAUAACCGCAACCAUGUCUAUAGACUCUAUAUUCAACAAAUUGUCAAUUUCCAUUUUUCUA